GGAGGAGUACUCAAGCGGCCUACGAGAGCGGUUUGCUAAACCGUAGCGGGGGACUUAAACCCCUGCCGAGGGUUCGAAUCCCUCCUCCUCCGCCA
rnacentral:tRNA from 1 species